ACAGUCAAGAUUUGCACAUGGGUGUCCUAGAAGUCUACCAUUUUUUUAAAGCAAAGUACAUGUCUAAAGAUUACUUUUCAGUAUUGCCGGAUCCGGAGUGUUCCCACUACUUAGAAAAACCUAAUAUUGUGGCGCUGCCCCUUUUUUAUGACGCUGCUAGCAGCCACGAGUGAGUGCUAGCUAGCCAAGCACCACAACACAAGCAUACCAUACAACUACUAUUGUUCUUCCAGAGACAAAUGGAUGGGUCUGUGAACUUCUACAGAGACUUGGACCACUACAAGAAUGGCUUUGAGCAUGCUGCAGGAGACCACUGGCUGGGGUGAUGCCCUCUCCCACUACAACAUCCAGAGGUUUUCCACCUGCGACCGGGACCAGGUCAACAGCCAUGUGAACUGUGCUGAAAGUUACCUGGGAGGCGUCUAGUAGACCAAGCGCUACAGCGCUAACCCCAACUGCGUCUAUAGCCAGAAUAGUCUGCAAAAUUGCAAAUGGAUCACAACUAAGCCCCAAAAAAGAUUGUAUUUGAAAAGAACAAUAAUUUUAUACCUUGAUUACAUUAAGACACAAUCACAUAAUUAUGUCUCUUUUUUUUGUGUGUGCGAAUACUUGGGAACAGAUUUCAGUAAUUAAACAGAUUUUUUUGCUGAAUUCCUUUUUACUAAAAACCUUGGGGGGCCCAAGAAAAUCACUCACGGCUGGUUUUGGUCACCUGUUGCCACCCGCUGCUAUACUACAAUGUAUGUAGGCCUAUACUGUUUUUUGUUUUGUUUGUCUGUGAGUGAGACAGGCUUGAAAUAAAACAACUGAUGUUAUUCUAUUGAAAGCUAUGUGUUAAUAAGCCAUUCAACGUUCAUUGGCCUACAUAAGCACAUAGGUAUGUGUGUACAUGUGUGUGUUUAGGAGAGUGUGUGCUGUUUGUGGCUGCCUCCCUAUUUAGUGCAAUACUUUUGACCAAGUAGUACACUAUAUAAAGAAUAGGGUGCCAUUAAGGAUGCAAUCUGUGAGUGCAUAGUGGCAUGUAUCAACACUGUAGCCCAUGCUCUGAGUUCCUCCCAUUCCACAGAACAGGGGCUCAGCUACUGUUUGCUUGCUGAUAAUGACAGCAACUGACAGAUAGACUGACUUCCUCUCUCUCUCUGUCAUGGUGUUGUGUAAACAUAUACAUUGACCCAGAGGUCUGAAAUGCAUCUGUAGAUAAUGGGCAAAUGAGGAUCUUAGGUUACGUUAGGGAAAUAAAUGAAUGGCAAUGCAAAAUUUAAUUUUGGUGACAUUGAAAAGAAACCUUUACUGUGUCAUAGUUGCAUAUCAUAUAUUGUACGUUUCGCACAUUAGUAAUAUAUAAUACGAAAUGGGUGAUGGACAGUCACAAACUAAUACAUACCAUACAAAACGUAACAUAUCAUACUAAAUGUAGUAUCUCAGAUUUACAUACAGAAUAAUACGAAAUGCUCUGAGACCAGGUUGAAAGAGCAGGUGUUCUUAAUGUUUUGUAUACUCCUUGUAUAUCUAUAGGCCCUUUCCAGUACACGUUACACUGAUGUCAGUGACUCUUGUCGGCAGUAAGAAAGAUAUCGCCAUCUGUGCCCAUUCAACAUAGCUUAAAUGUACUUUUUGGGGUUCUCAUACGCUUACAAUUAUGUUCUCAUACGCUUACAAUUUUACCGUUGAAGUUGGACGUUUUUUUUAAAGAAUAAUGCAGCUGUUUUGCGAUGACGACACAAACAUUAUAUUAAGCAGGACAUUCAUACGAGCCUUAAAAUCCAAAAAUAAUCCAAAAGUAGUGUGAAAUGCACUCAUGUAGCAUGAGCAACAUGUAAAUCGAGGCUAUUUUUGCAGACGUUCUAUAUGAACUCCUCCUUGUUCUGCCACCAAUUUGCGCGCAUCGCCCCCGUGCGGCAAUGUUUGUAAACGCAGGAAGGGGUCUAUAGAAAAUGUAGUCUUUUGUUUUUCAACUGAAGUAACAAUAUCGACCUGCUGAUGUCAGUGUCGUGUCGUGUGCUUUUUUCUGUUGUUGCUGUAGUGUGGGCCGAAACCUAAAUUAGCUAAUUGAGGAGGAGACAGCAAUUCAAAGUCAGGACAGACAGCCCGGUCGGAAUGCGGCAGUGGCCUCUUGCAGACGGCAGCGUCCAGGGAACCUAAAAAGGGAAGGAGUCUCACAUUGGGUUCCUGGCAGCAGUAAGAAGUAGCAGGCAGGCAGGCAGCAGGCUAAAUUAGGCUGUCUCACUGACUUCCACUCCCCAGAGCCCUGUAGGCAGACCUAAGGAAGGAAGGCUGCACCAGAGGCCCUUACUGCGCUACUGUGUCUCUGAGAGUCCCUGAAGAACCUCAGUCCCUGUGAAGGAGCUAAGUGUAGGUCAGUUGUAUCUGGAUAGAGGAGUGUUGUACUUUUGAAAGGGUGUUUUGGGAUUUUCUUUGGAUGCCGAUUGAUAACGGAUGUUCACAGACCUGACUAGAGCAAGGUGGGGAUGUGCUGAGUGCUGCUCUCCUCUCAAUAUUGACUUCAGAAGGCCAGUCUGUCUCCUGUCUCUACCCCUGUGACAGAUUGACGGGCUUGGCACUGAAGGUCUGAUAUACAAAUGCACUUCUGAACAGGAACUUGGGUUUCCCGGUUCUGCCCGCCCGGACCCUGCCUGUCGUCCUGUACCUUUGCCCCACUACUCUUGAUUACUGACCUCUGCCUGACCUGACCCUGAGCCCGCCUGCUGUUCCUGUGUUUUACACCAUCUCUGGAUUAUUGACCCCUGCUUGCCUUGACUUGUCGUUUGCCUGCCCGUUUAAAGAAUACACUUUUGUUUCUUCAACACUGUCUGCACCUGGGUCAUACCUUAAAACGUGAUACUUCAAAGUAUGUGUGUGUUGUCUUUCGGUUCCAAAGUGUCUAUGUUGUUAUCAUUCAGUGUGUUUGGGUUCCAAAGGUCAUAGUUGUCAACCUUAUGGGCCCUUUUCAUUUGAGCCUGCAUGAAGUCAUCCAAGGUGAAGCCUUGUUUACUCAACCCCCUCAUCUCUCUCUCUCGCUUUCUCUCGCUCUCUCUCUCUCUUCCCUUAACCCCCCACAAACACACUCUCUUUCUCUGAAACUAUGAUGCUCAGCUCUCUGUAAAAAUACAUCCAUGUUUGCCGGGUCAUGGUGACACAUGGUGUCCUUCAGAGAUGUGAUACAGAAUGUUGCAAAGUGGUUUUGUAGCGUUGCUGAAUGUGCAUAUCGUUGCUGAAUGUGCACAACCUGUUCUAGGAAAUUGAAUUCUCUUGAGAGGGUGUAGCACUGGCCCUGCUCGGAUAAUAAGAGGGGAAACGGCCCGUGACUCAAAUCCCACCAGGCACAGAUGUCAGUUCAACGUCUAGUUUUGAUUUACUUUUGGUUGAGUUGUAAACUAAGGUGAAUUCAAUGUGAAAUCAACGAAAACUGUAAACAUGCCAUUGGAUUUAGGUGAAAAGUUUGGAGAGAAAAAAUACAAAAUUCCCUACCGUUUAUGGCUUUUUGCCAUCAAUGUGCACUUUUUGCAAAUCCAAUCAGUUUUACAUGUUGAUUCAACGUGAUCACAUAGAUUAUUGUUGUUGAAAUUACGUGGAAACAACCAGUUUUAGCCCAGUGGGAUGUAUCAAAUUCCCAUGGCAAACACAAUAGUUCCAUUAUAAACAAACACUUUUCACUAGGGCUGUCCCUGACUAAAAUACAUUUUAAAAUGUGUAUUUUUCCAUAUAUAGACACACCCGAUGUGUUUUAAUAAAAUCAACUAUAUGCUUGUCUGAUGCUGUUUGAUGAAAUAAGAUACAAAUGACUCAAGAGGGAGCAAGAGAUCAAGAUAACCAGAAGAGAAAAACCUUAACCUUAACCAACCAUUCUCCUCCCGCUCCUGCUGGCUUUCGCAGAUAAUGCCAUUACUCCUGAAGUUGUCGGUAAUAGGCUACAAGAGGAGUCGGCAAUCUUUCUCAUGUGGAAUGCCAAUUUAUCUACCAAUUUCUACCGAUCUGUGUGUCAGUUAUGGUUUUCAUAUGCACAUUUUCGUAGAACAGUUUAAUUUAAUUUCUAAUAAAGGCUUCGUGUCUCACAA